CUCUUCAGGGCAGGGUGCAAGUCCCUACCGGCGGUCAAAGUCCGCGAGCCUUCACCACGAGGGCCGAAUCGUUGAAACUACGAUACCGACAGUCAUAGUCUGGAUGAAAGAAGAA
rnacentral:ncRNA from 1 species